rnacentral:rRNA from 1 species
AGGAUGAACGCUGGCGGCGUGCCUAACACAUGCAAGUCGAACGUCCUGUCUCGCAAGAGGCAGGGAGUGGCGGACGGGUGAGUACCACGUGGGUCAUCUACCGUGAGGUGAGGAAUACCGGCGAGAAAUCGCCGACAAGACCGCAUAGGCUCGAUGCAAGUCGAGCAAAGCUCUUUCGAGAGAGGGAGCGCCACACGAGGAGCCUGCGCCCGAUUAGCUAGCUGGUGGAGUAACGGUUCACCAGGGCGACGAUCGGUAGCUGGUCUGAGAGGACGAUCAGCCACACUGGGAUUGAGAACGGCCCAGACUCCUACGGGGGCAGCAGUGAGGAAUUUUCGUCAAUGGGGGCAACCCUGAACGAGCAACGCCGCGUGCAGGAAGAAGGUUUCGGAUCGUAAACUGCUUUUCUCGGGGAAGAGAACGGACGGUACCCGAGGAAUCAGCCCCGGCUAACUACGUGCCAGCAGCCGC